rnacentral:lncRNA from 1 species
UAAGACGUUGAUGCUGAAACAAAGAAGGAAUGAGGGGGGAUAUCUUUUUCCUUAGGGUCUAAGAAAGAAAGGAAGGUAGAGGUCAAAGACUUCACCUGGUUAACAGAGGAAGAAGAAGACGACGAGGCCAUGGCAGAGAAAUUGCGCCGAUGAGAAGGGGCAGAAAAGUUAAACUGAGGGCCAAGAUUGGUGCUACCAGGAGUAAGCGCCGAGGUUGGUAUUUAUAAAAGAAUGCGUGGAAAUCUGGUAAAGCUACGUCCCAUCGGUAAUAAGAAGGCAAUAAAUAGAAAGGACGUCGCGAGGGGCGGUCAAAGAAGAUAGUAAAUGAUUCGUACAAAACGGUCAGUGUUUUUACAGAUUACCCAGAAGGGUAUCGAUAGUCGUGAUGGCCCGGCGCCGGAUCUGAUCGGCAGAGUCAAGAAUCC